rnacentral:rRNA from 1 species
AUUGAACGCUGGCGGCAGGCCUAACACAUGCAAGUCGAACGACAGCACAGAAGAGCUUGCUCUUUGGGUGGCGAGUGGCGGACGGGUGAGUAAUGUCUGGGAAACUGCCCGAUGGAGGGGGAUAACUACUGGAAACGGUAGCUAAUACCGCAUAACGUCGCAAGACCAAAGUGGGGGACCUUCGGGCCUCACACCGUCGGAUGUGCCCAGAUGGGAUUAGCUAGUAGGUGGGGUAAUGGCUCACCUAGGCGACGAUCCCUAGCUGGUCUGAGAGGAUGACCAGCCACACUGGAACUGAGACACGGUCCAGACUCCUACGGGAAGCAGCAGUGGGGAAUAUUGCACAAUGGGCGCAAGCCUGAUGCAGCCAUGCCGCGUGUAUGAAGAAGGCCUUCGGGUUGUAAAGUACUUUCAGCGGGGAGGAAGGCGGUGAGGUUAAUAACCUUGCCGAUUGACGUUACCCGCAGAAGAAGCACCGGCUAACUCCGUGCCAGCCGCCGCCGUAAUAC